rnacentral:rRNA from 1 species
AGAGUUUGAUCCUGGCUCAGGAUGAACGCUAGCGGCAGGCUUAACACAUGCAAGUCGAGGGGCAGCAUAAUGGUAGUAAUACUAUUGAUGGCGACCGGCGGACGGGUGCGUAACGCGUAUGCAACCUACCCUUUACAGGGGGAUAACACUGAGAAAUCGGUACUAAUACCCCAUAAUAUUCCGGGAGGCAUCUUUCGGAGUUGAAAGCUUUGGUGGUAAAGGAUGGGCAUGCGUUGUAUUAGCUAGUUGGUAAGGUAACGGCUUACCAAGGCGACGAUACAUAGGGGGACUGAGAGGUUAACCCCCCACAUUGGUACUGAGACACGGACCAAACUCCUACGGGAGGCAGCAGUGAGGAAUAUUGGUCAAUGGACGCAAGUCUGAACCAGCCAUGCCGCGUGCAGGAAGACGGCUCUAUGAGUUGUAAACUGCUUUUGUACGAGGGUAAACGCAGAUACGUGUAUCUGCCUGAAAGUAUCGUACGAAUAAGGAUCGGCUAACUCCGUGCCAGCAGCCGCGGUAAUACGGAGGAUCCAAGCGUUAUCCGGAUUUAUUGGGUUUAAAGGGUGCGUAGGCGGUUUGAUAAGUUAGAGGUGAAAUACCGGUGCUUAACACCGGAACUGCCUCUAAUACUGUUGAACUAGAGAGUAGUUGCGGUAGGCGGAAUGUAUGGUGUAGCGGUGAAAUGCUUAGAGAUCAUACAGAACACCGAUUGCGAAGGCAGCUUACCAAACUAUAUCUGACGUUGAGGCACGAAAGCGUGGGGAGCAAACAGGAUUAGAUACCCUGGUAGUCCACGCAGUAAACGAUGAUAACUCGUUGUCGGCGAUACACAGUCGGUGACUAAGCGAAAGCGAUAAGUUAUCCACCUGGGGAGUACGUUCGCAAGAAUGAAACUCAAAGGAAUUGACGGGGGCCCGCACAAGCGGAGGAACAUGUG